CUCCGCGGCGCUCCCGGUCGAGGACGGCCCCGCCGCAGCGCUCCCCUUCGCGCUAGAACUACGCACGCGGCGGCGGCGGCGGCGGCGCCGUCCUCGACCGGGAGCGCCGCGGACG